rnacentral:rRNA from 1 species
GACAAGAAAGACUAGUGUUAAUCAUCUUUAUUAGGUUUAAAAGGGUACCUAGACUGUUUAUCUAGCCUUAAUAGGUUACGGAUAAUACUAGAGUUUUAUGUGAGGGGGAGUUAAGUAUUAUUAGUGUAGAGAUGAAAUGUUUUGAUACUCUUAAGACGGGUAACGGCGAAGGCAUACCCUUAUGUAAAAAACUGACGUUGAGGGACGAAGGCUUGGGUAACGAAGAGG